rnacentral:lncRNA from 1 species
CUUUCUUCCUACUUCCUGCCUAGAACAUGAGUGUCAUGACUAGAACUUCAGCAGUCAUCUUGCAACCACCAGGCAGCCUGAAAGAUGAGAACUACACACUGAGGAUAGCAGAGAAGAAAGAGAGGAGUCCAGGUUCCUGAUGAGCUAGGGGAGCUGCCACACCCACCAAGGACUGCCUAUUUACAGAGUGUUUACACAUUGGAAAAAAUAUAAAGCUCUACCUUACUUACAUAAUGAUUAUUUGGUUUGUCCAUCAUACAAAACACAGUGGGCACAGGCUAAAAUGUGAACAACUAACAGAAGGAAUUUCAUAGCCCAUAAUGCAACAUUUGCUGAUGCGUUGUAUUUUUUAAGAAUAUAACGAGAAGCACAUACUCUGAUUAAAUUGCUAAGUUCCAUUACAGUCUUAUAAAAUAUAUUACAGCAAGCCUCAAGCUAAAGGCUUAUUGGCAAGUACCUUGCCUCUGAGGUACAAGGAAUCCGUUCCUGGGGGCUUAUGAGAAAAUGUUAGGGGGCUCCUUAAUAAUUCUGUACAAACACUGCUUGAGAAAAUACUAUUAAUGCCUUUCCGCCAAAACUAAGCUUGAGUACUUUUUCUAAACUCCUCACCGUUUAAGAAGAAAUAGCAUGCAAAGUUCAAAUGAGGUCAUCAUAUCCACCCCCUCCUGCCUCCCACCUAGUUUUUUCAUUCAGCAAUCAAUCCCUCCCCAACAAUUGAGGUUCAGUUGCUGUGUCUGAUUCAUGGAAGAAUAACCUGUCUUUUCCUCCCCCUUCCAAAUUUUUUAAAACACCAAGCAGUAUAGGCAAGUUUUUGUUUGUUUGGCUGGUUGGUUGGGUUUUUUUUGAGACGGAGUUUGGCUCUUGUCACCCAGGCUGGAGUGCAACUGCACGAUCUCGACUCACUGCAACCUCUGCCUCCCGGGUUCAAGUGAUUCUCCUACCUCAGCCUCCCAAGUAGAUGGGAUUACAGGUAUG